UCAGAUUGAACGCUGGCGGCAGGCUUAACACAUGCAAGUCGAGCGGUAACAGAUCCAGCUUGCUGGAUGCUGACGAGCGGCGGACGGGUGAGUAAUGCAUAGGAAUCUGCCCAGUAGUUGGGGAUAGCCCGGGGAAACCCGGAUUAAUACCGAAUACGCCCUACGGGGGAAAGCAGGGGAUCUUCGGACCUUGCGCUAUUGGAUGAGCCUAUGUCGGAUUAGCUAGUUGGUGGGGUAACGGCCUACCAAGGCGACGAUCCGUAGCUGGUCUGAGAGGAUGAUCAGCCACAUCGGGACUGAGACACGGCCCGAACUCCUACGGGAGGCAGCAGUGGGGAAUAUUGGACAAUGGGGGCAACCCUGAUCCAGCCAUGCCGCGUGUGUGAAGAAGGCUUUCGGGUUGUAAAGCACUUUCAGUGAGGAGGAAAACCUUAUGGCUAAUAUCCAUGAGGCUUGACGUUACUCACGGAAGAAGCACCGGCUAACUCCGUGCCAGCAGCCGCGGUAAUACGGAGGGUGCAAGCGUUAAUCGGAAUUACUGGGCGUAAAGCGCGCGUAGGUGGUUUGGUAAGCGAGAUGUGAAAGCCCCGGGCUUAACCUGGGAACGGCAUUUCGAACUGUCAGACUAGAGUGUGGUAGAGGGUAGUGGAAUUUCCUGUGUAGCGGUGAAAUGCGUAGAUAU
rnacentral:rRNA from 1 species